rnacentral:tRNA from 1 species
GUCUAUGUAAUUUAUAUAAAAUAUCGGUCUUGUAAGCCGAAAAUAGGUAGCCGCCCUCUUAGACU